UCAACCGAAGAGGAUCACAGACAGUAUCACGAGUGAACUGUCCAGUCGAUAACAACACAAACGCGACCCACGCCUCAGGUAAAUGAAACCGCUAAGUUGAAAACUACUGCAGUCAGUUCAAGGUAUUGCCCCACUAAUUCUUUCGUGCUUUACGAAGCAAUAAGUAAACUUUAAUUACCUUUCUAUACCCAGCCAUCUACGAUUCCAAACGUAUAGAAUAUCACUUUCUUAUUGUUCAUUUCAGGUGAAUUUGUGUUUUCUAUGCAAUAUCUUACGAGUUCUUGUAACACAGAUACAAACACAUCCAAAUGAACCUAGUAAUUUCAGACGAGCUUUAAAAGCAACGUUUGUGUUGAUACCCUUAUUUGGUGUACAGUUAUUUGUAACAGUGUAUAGAGUUCCAGCCGGAAAUGUGGCGGCUGCAGGAUAUGAAAAGUUCACAACAUUCGUCAUAAAUUCACAGGGUUUUUUCGUGGCUUUAAUUUUCUGUUUCUUCAAUGGAGAGGUAUCUACAUACAUCAGAAGAACAUGUACAAGAUGGCAACUGUUGAGACCAGGAAUAACCAUGCCAAAGGUGCACACAACAGCAACCAGUUGUAACAUGAGUCAGCGCGGUGAGGAAUCAAGGGAAAUCAAGAACGGUAACCCCCUUAUAGACGACCCGCGUGACCUCAAUCUACCGUUACGUACACAGAAAAUAGAAAUGUACGAAAAGAAAUACGGUUAUCUACCUUUAAAUGAUGAUAAUCAGACAAUGGUGGCACAGAUGUAGGCUAACAAUAUGCGGUUGUUGUAAUGAACUGUUCAGUUCAUUCCGCCAAUUUUGUCUGCGUUAUUACAACAAACGACGGAGGUGUUCGAUUAAAGAAGCAGAAGGUAGAGUAAUAAAUGGAUUACCUACUAUGAGGACGUAAACUGUGGAUAUACGUGAUGGAGUUCUUACAUAUUAUUUUUAUACGCCCACAUUUUCAUGUGGACUUAUAUUGUCGUCGCCCCUGUCCGUCCGGACGUCCGUCCGUCCGUCCGUCCACAAUUGUUUGUGGACACUCUACAGGUCACAAUUUUUAUCCGAUUUCAACUUCCUCGUUCGCAAAUAGCGUAAAAAUAUGGUAUAUCAAGGUUGUGGACCCUCUAGAGGUCACAAUUUUCUUCUGAUUUUGAUGAAACUUAAAAUAUAAGUCUAUAACCCAAAGAUCUCGGUUCCUGUCGAUAUUGGUGCAUAUUGUACGAAAAAUCGCGUUCUUGUGGACCCUAUAGCGGUCAUAAUUUUUAUCCGAUUUAAAAAAACCGUUUGAAUAUAUCACCGUUACACCCUAAGGAUGGUUGAGUAUGAAUUUCGUAAAAAUCGGACCAAAACUGACCGACAAAAUGGCCUCCCCUCGUACUCAAAUAGCGUAAAAAUAUGGUAUAUCAAUGUUGUGGUUCCUCUAGAGGUCACAAUUUUCUUCUGAUUUGAUGAAACUUGAAAUGUAAGUGUAUAACCCAUAGAUUUCGUUCCUUUCGAUAUUCGCGCAUAUCGGAUAGUAACUUCCUGAAUUAUGGACCUUGAUUGUACGAAAAAUUGCGUUUUUACCUUGAGGCCCCUCUAGAUGUCACAAUUAUUAUCCGAUUUAAAAUAACGUUCAAAUAUAUCACUGUUACACCGUAAUUUUGGUUGAGUUCGAAUUUUGUGAAAAUCGGGCCAAAACUGCCAGACAAAAUGGCCGCCCCACGUACGCAAAUAGUGUAUAGCAUCUGGUAUAUCAAGCUUGUGGACCCUCUAGCGGUCACAAUUUUGACCUGAUUUUGAUGAGAGUUGAAAUACAUGUUUAUAACCCAAAGAUCUUGGUUCCUUUCGAUAUUCGCGGGUAUCGGAUCUUAACUUCCUGAAUUAUGGCCCAUGAAUAUACAAAAAAUCAGGUUUUUAGCUUGCCGUACAUGUAGAGGUCACAAUUUUUAUCCGAUUUAAAAAAAACGUGUGAAUGUACCACCAUUACACACUAAGAUCUUGGUUCCGUUUGAUAAUCGCGUAUAUCCGAACGUAACUUCCUGGAUAAUGGCUCCUGAUUGUUCGAAAAAUCGCAUUUUUAGCUUGCGAUUUUAAAAACCGUUUAAAUAUUUCACCAUUCCACUAUAACAAAGGUUGAAUUCGAAUUUCGGGAAAAUCGAAAUGAAACUGCACGACAAAAUGGCCGCUCUUUGUACGCAAAUUGGGUAAUGGUAUGAAUUACGAAGGUUGUGGACCCCCUAGAGGUCACAAUUUUUAUCAUAUUCUCAUUUCUGAUGAAACUUAAAACAUAUCUUUAUAUCCCAAAGAUCUAAGUCCCUUUUGAUAUUUGCGCAUUUCAGACCAUAACUUUUGGAUCAUUGCCCCUGAUUGUACAAAAAAAUCCCAUUUGUUUUUUCCAUCUCUUGCACAAUGUGGGCGUAUCCUGCCUGGCAGCCGCUGGUUUGUCAAAGUUACGAAUCUCUGUGUUGCGCUAUGACGUUUUGGAUGAUAGAAUUGUCUCCCUUAUAAUCAAUUCUUGUUUCGUGAAAGUGUUCAGUUUUAAUUACAUGGCUUUAUUGCUAGC